rnacentral:rRNA from 1 species
GACCGGUCUACCACCGGGAUGUUCAUAACCCUUUGUUGUCCGACUCUGUUGCCUCCGGGGCGACCCUGCCUUCGGGCGGGGGCUCCGGGUGGACACUUCAAACUCUUGCGUAACUUUGCAGUCUGAGUAAACUUAAUUAAUAAAUUAAAACUUUUAACAACGGAUCUCUUGGUUCUGGCAUCGAUGAAGAACGCAGCGAAAUGCGAUAAGUAAUGUGAAUUGCAGAAUUCAGUGAAUCAUCGAAUCUUUGAACGCACAUUGCGCCCCCUGGUAUUCCGGGGGGCAUGCCUGUUCGAGCGUCAUUUCACCACUCAAGCCUCGCUUGGUAUUGGGCAUCGCGGUCCGCCGCGUGCCUCAAAUCGACCGGCUGGGUCUUCUGUCCCCUAAGCGUUGUGGAAACUAUUCGCUAAAGGGUGUUCGGGAGGCUACGCCGUAAAACAACCCCAUUUCUAAGGUUGACCUCGGAUCAGGUAGGGAUACCCGCUGAACUUAAGCAUAUCAAUAAGCCGGAGGAA